AUACGAAGGUCCCAAGCGUUAUUCGGAAUCACUGGGCGUAAAGAGUACGUAGGCGGUUUGGUAAGUCAGGUGUGAAAUCCCGAAGCUCAACUUCGGAACUGCAUCCGAUACUGCCAGACUUGAGUAAUGGAGAGGCAGGUGGAAUUCUCGGUGUAGCAGUGAAAUGCGUGGAUAUCGAGAGGAAGACCAAUGGCGAAGGCAGCCUGCUGGACAUUGACUGACGCUGAGGUACGAAGGCUAGGGGAGCGAAAGGGAUUAGAUACCCCGGUAGUCC
rnacentral:rRNA from 1 species